AGAAAAGUCGAGUUCUAGCCCUAUUAUUAAAAAAACUCAUAAAUAUCAAACACGUUGACAAAGGACUCUGGGUAAUGUAGUUCUUUAACUUUUUUUUGUGGUGACAUGAAUUUAUAUUUGGACUAGGUUUUCCACAGUGCAUUUCGGCGCUUAGGCGUCCCUCAGGUAACCGUGGCAACUCCGUAAGAAUCACGAAAUGUAAAAGGAAUAUAUUGAAACGGAAUAAAUAUCAAAGCAAUUCCAAAUAUUUUGGCGUAAUAGCCACGGGAAAGAUUUGCGAACGGUAAUAAUGUUUGCUCUGCCAUGCGAGUUGUUCAAGUCGCUUUAUGAUGACAUCACAGCUCUUCCGCCUUGAAAUUUCACGACAAAACGGUGAAAGUGGGCGAUAAUUCUAAGACGGCAGUAUUUUUUUCAGUAAGUCAUCAUAUUUCUCCUCACGUAAAUAUUCGAGGAGGUAAUAAUUACAUUCCGUGACGAAAGAAGUGUGCAAAGAACCCCGGGCUACUAGCUAAGUUCCUAAUUCACGUGCUUCGCGAAACUUUGUUUAUUAGCCGCAUGGCUGUUGGCUGGAUGAAGCUCGAGUUGUCUCGAGUUCUCCAAGGAGGUAGCCGCCUGGGUAUCCUCAAGGGGCUCGGCAGGACCGGACAGCAUUCCCUGGAGGUACCGGGCUGUCUGCUGUACAGUCGCUGUGGAACAGUGCCACACCUGACCCAAGAUACGUUGCACAACCUGGACAAGCUUCCCUCUGUCACUCAGGUCUCACUGGACCAUUUAGCAGAGCACCAGGAAGUGUUGGAGGAAUUCAAGGAAGGAUUUAAGAAGUUUUCAGGUCUUCAUGACACAGUUUUGUUUUGCACACUGAAUGACCCUGCGACCCCAAGCCCCACUGGCUACACAACCAACAAGACGGUGUCCGUAUGGGGAAGCGGCGGGCGCAUCGAGCUGACGGCAGCCAAAUUCAUGGCCAUGCAGAAGCUGCUUCAGCCCGACUGCUACGUGAGCAUGGCCGACGGCGAAACCUGGCAGGACAACACCUCCCGCAAGAGGGUCCGCAAAUCGGUGGAGCGGACCCUUGCCCACUUGGAUGAGUGUCUGCUGGUGCACCAGGCGUCGCAGGAGCUGGAGGGAGCGGCGCUCUUCGGGGUGGUGGAGGGCGGGGACGUCCCGGAGGAAAGGUCGCGUUCGGCCAGGGAGACGGCCAAGCGGCCCGUGGCGGGCUUCUGCCUAGACGGACUCCAGUCUGGUCACCUGAACGGCGCCCUGAGGAGCCAGCUCAUAGCUGCGGUCAUCAAGGAGCUCCCUGAGGACAAACCCAGGCUUCUGCAAGGUGUGGGUCGACCCGACGAGGUGCUGGCAUGCGUGGAGGCCGGCGUGGACCUGUUUGAGGGCUUCUUCCCCUUCCUGGUCACUGAGCGAGGCUGUGCCCUCUGCUUCCGCUUCGACACGGCAAUCGACCCGGAGAGCGGCGAUGGGACGCCCCCUUGUGAAAGCACAGCAGAACAGAAUGGAGACCACCAUCCCGAUGACCCGACUCGCAUGACCUCCUUCGAGAUGAAUCUCAAAGACAAAAGGUACCGAGACGACUUCCGGCCCCUGGUGGAUGGGUGUGUCUGCUACUGCUGCAAGAACCACACGAGAGCGUACGUGCACCACCUGCUAGCCACCAAUGAGCUGCUGGCGGGGGUUCUGCUCAUGCUCCACAACACGACGCACUAUCUGGCCUUCUUCGCGGCCCUUCGAGAAGCCCUGGCUGCCGAUAAAGUGGACCUCUUGAAAAGGCGGGUCCUCGGUCAGACGGAAACAAAUACCUAAGGACGGAAUGAAAUCAAAUGGGAGAGAUGGAUUGAGCCUGGAGGAGAGAAUCGUACAAAAUCCAAGAGACAACAGCAUCCACUGAUUCCAAGAAGAAUCGGUAUCGCCGGGAAGCCCUCCGAGUGUGACGUUUUGCAGCGUGACAGCCAUCAAACGCACCAUGAAGCUGCCUGGCUUGUCAACUCUUAUAAACACACCUCAUUCCACCUGCCCCGUAAGCUGAGGAUCUUGAUGAAGGCCCUGCGGAACUCCACGUUGAAGGUGGUGUAUAUGAUGGGGUUGAGGGCGCUGUUGACGUAGCCCAGCCAGGUGAAGGCGCUGUAGAGGCCAGGUGGGACCGUGCAUGUCCUGCAGUGCGUGUUCAAGAUGUGCGUGACAAAGAAGGGAAGCCAGCAAAUGAGGAACACCCCUGAAAAGCAUUUGUCAACUCACUUCAGCAUGACGUGCUCCUGAAGUUCGGUGUUGAGGGUCUCUGGCAGCAGCAGACAGAGGCCCACUGCACAAACGGGUACGAUGCCGUACACGAACAUGGGGAGGGAGUCGUGGUAGUCGGCCAGGAGCCUUAUCAAGGGGGCCAGGAUGCCGCCCACGCGAGCGCACAUCGAGUUCAGACCUACGCCACUCUGCCUAGCAACAUACAGAACGCCAACACCAUUUCAAAGCUAAUUAAAAAAAUCAAGUCCUGCAACCACUUCACUUCUCAGAAGAGAUGAAA